UGCGUAGGGACCGAGCGUUGUCCGGAAUCAUUGGGCGUAAAGAGCGUGUAGGCGGCCUUUUAAGUCCUGCGUGAAAUCCUGCGGCUCAACCGCAGACGGUCGUGGGAAACUGGAAGGCUAGAGUGCGGGAGAGGAGAGUGGAAUUCCCGGUGUAGCGGUGAAAUGCGUAGAUAUCGGGAAGAACACCAACGGCGAAAGCACUCUGCUGGGCCGAAAAACUGACACUGAUAGACGAAAGCUAGGGGAGCAAAUGGG
rnacentral:rRNA from 1 species